rnacentral:rRNA from 1 species
GGGGAUUUUCUGGAAACAGAGGAAGUGCUUUAGCAAUAAAGAACCCGGUGACAGGUGCUGCAUGGCUGUCGUCAGCUCGUGUCGUGAGAUGUUGGGUUAAGUCCCGCAACGAGCGCAACCCUCGCCUUUAGUUGCCAGCAUUCAGUUGGGCACUCUAGAGGGACUGCCGGCGUCAAACCGGAGGAAGUGGGAUGACGUCAAGUCCUCAUGGCCUUUAUGUCUAGGGCUACACACGUACUACAAUGGCCGGUACAAAGGGCAGCCACUCAGCGAUGAGGCGCUAAUCCCAUAAAGCCGGUCUCAGUCCGGAUCGCAGUCUGCAACUCGACUGCGUGAAGUUGGAAUCGCUAGUAAUCGUAGAUCAGCAUGCUACGGUGAAUACGUUCCCGGGCCUU